GGCUUGGUGGUGUAGUUGGUUAUCACGUCAGUCUAACAAGCAAAUGUUAGGCGCACUGAAGGUCCCGAGUUCGAACCUCGGCCGAGUCA